rnacentral:lncRNA from 1 species
GUCAAAGCAUUAUUUUGUAAUUAGCUCUCAUGUCUCAGCAGUAUGUCUGAUGGAUGACUAGUAUAUCCUGUUAGGCUGGGCUUUCCUUGGCAGACUAGCUCAGAUUCUAGCUGUACCCGUGCCAUCAUGUUCAAUCCUGUCUUCUCUAGACCCUUCUGCUGGCAUUGCCAAUGACUUCCAUCUGCAGGAUAGAGUCCUUUGAGUUCCACAGUCAUCCUGAUCUGGUCAGAAGGUCAGCGCCAGUCUUCAGCCCACAAUGGCAAGGACAAGAAGCCAGAAGCAGGAUAAAAGAAACUUGCCAACUGAUAUUGGUCUCCAAUUUCUACUAAACAGAAUAGUGAAGGAGGAACAGGAGCCCAAUGAGGUGUGGAUUCUCAGUUUUUCUACUCUUGUAUGGAGUUCUGACCCUUACACAAGUACAUUGGAGAUUGGGGAGGAGGUGGAGAAGUGCAAGACUUUGUACUUCAAUACUGGCUUGCUGGGGACACAGUGCUGAACUUUUUUUUUAAUUUUUAUUUAUUUUUGAGAGAGAGAGAGAGAGAGAGGAGAGAGAGAGAGAGAGAGAGAGAGAGAGUGUUGGAGUGGCAGAGAGAGAGGGAGACACAGAAUCUGAAGCAGGCUCCAGAAUCUGAGCUCUCAGC